GUUGUGGACCAGGGCUGUAGUCAUCUCAAGGCUCAGAUGAAUAAAGUGAUUCCUAUUUAAAUACUGAGAAAGAGAGCUGAGAUUUGGGCACACACAUCUGACUCCGUAUCUAUGUUCACACACUGGCUCCCACAGACAAGAGGCCAGAGAGAGACCACAGAAAGAGGCAGACACUCCAGAUGGUCAACCAAAGUCCGGAAGAUGAUCCUUCUGGCGAAUCACAGACGGUCAAUAGUCUCCUACUUCUACAUUCACAGCGCCUGCGUCAUCCACCCCACUUCGUCUCAGCACGAAGACAUGUUAUCAUCUCAUGUCAUUACAAG